rnacentral:rRNA from 1 species
CUUAGGUUGACCUCGGAUCAGGUAGGGAUACCCGCUGAACUUAAGCAUAUCA